GACGAACGCCGGCGGCGUGCUUAACACAUGCAAGUCGAACGGAAAGGCCCUGCUUUUGUGGGGUGCUCGAGUGGCGAACGGGUGAGUAACACGUGAGUAACCUGCCCUUGACUUUGGGAUAACUUCAGGAAACUGGGGCUAAUACCGGAUAGGAGCUCCUGCUGCAUGGUGGGGGUUGGAAAGUUUCGGCGGUUGGGGAUGGACUCGCGGCUUAUCAGCUUGUUGGUGGGGUAGUGGCUUACCAAGGCUUUGACGGGUAGCCGGCCUGAGAGGGGGACCGGCCACAUUGGGACUGAGAUACGGCCCAGACUCCUACGGGAGGCAGCAGUGGGGAAUAUUGCACAAUGGGCGGAAGCCUGAUGCAGCAACGCCGCGUGCGGGAUGACGGCCUUCGGGUUGUAAACCGCUUUCGCCUGUGACGAAGCGUGAGUGACGGUAAUGGGUAAAGAAGCACCGGCUAACUACGUG
rnacentral:rRNA from 1 species